rnacentral:tRNA from 1 species
GAGUCUGUGGCUCAGUUGGUUAGAGCGCGUCGUUGACAUCGACGAGGUCGAAGGUUCGAGUCCUUCCAGACUCA